rnacentral:rRNA from 1 species
UACGGGGGGGGCAAGCGUUGUUCGGAAUUACUGGGCGUAAAGGGCUCGUAGGCGGCCAACUAAGUCGGACGUGAAAUCCCCAGGCUCAACCUGGGAACUGCGUCCGAUACUGGAUGGCUUGAAUCCGGGAGAGGGAUGCAGAAUUCCAGGUGUAGCGGUGAAAUGCGUAGAUAUCUGGAGGAACACCGGUGGCGAAGGCGGCAUCCUGGACCAAUAUUGACGCUGAGGAGCGAAAGCCAGGGGAGCAAACGGG